AUUGAACGCUGGCGGCAGGCUUAACACAUGCAAGUCGAGCGGAGAUGAGGUGCUUGCACCUUAUCUUAGCGGCGGACGGGUGAGUAAUGCUUAGGAAUCUGCCUAUUAGUGGGGGACAACAUUCCGAAAGGAAUGCUAAUACCGCAUACGCCCUACGGGGGAAAGCAGGGGAUCUUCGGACCUUGCGCUAAUAGAUGAGCCUAAGUCGGAUUAGCUAGUUGGUGGGGUAAAGGCCUACCAAGGCGACGAUCUGUAGCGGGUCUGAGAGGAUGAUCCGCCACGCGGGGACUGAGACACGGCCCAGACUCCUACGGGAGGCAGCGGUGGGGAAUAUUGGACAAUGGGCGGAAGCCGGAUCCAGCCAUGCCGCGUGUGUGAAGAAGGCCUUUUGGUUGUAAAGCACUUUAAGCGAGGAGGAGGCUACCUGGAUUAAUACUCUAGGAUAGUGGACGUUACUCGCAGAAUAAGCACCGGCUAACUCUGUGCCAGCCGCCGCAGUAACAC
rnacentral:rRNA from 1 species